rnacentral:rRNA from 1 species
UACGGAGGGGGCUAGCGUUGUUCGGAAUUACUGGGCGUAAAGCGCGCGUAGGCGGACCUGCAAGUCGGGGGGUGAAAGCCCGAGGCUCAACCUCGGAACUGCCUUCGAUACUGCGGGUCUCGAGUCCGGGAGAGGGUGAGUGGGAAUUCCUAGUGUUAGAGGUGAAAAUUCGUAGAUAUUAGGGAAGAACACCAGUGGCGAAGGGCGGCUCA